rnacentral:lncRNA from 1 species
AAAAAAGGAUGCUAUAAAUGUGAGCCUUGUAAUAAAUGCUCUUACUAUCACCAGUGCCUUCAAAUAUGUAAAACAACCCAUAACCAAGGGGAACACCAUGAAUGAAAACAAAAUCAUAAAACCAAAUUGUAAAAUUAAUCCAUACAUAUAAACAGAUUGAUCAGUGUAAUGAAUGUGGUAAAGCUUUUACAUGUGCCAAUUAUCUUCACAGGCAUGAAAGAGUUCAUACUGGAGGGAAACCCUGUGAAGGUAUUCAUUAUGGUGAAGCCUUUUUACAAUAUGGUGGUUUCCAAGUACCUAAGAUAAAAUAUACUGGAGAGAAACCUUAUGAGUGUAAUCAAUGUGGUAAAGCAUUUGCAUAUCACAGUCAUCUUCAAAGGCAUGAAAGAAUUUAAACAGGAGAGAAACCUUAUGAAUGUAACCAGUGUGGUAAAGCCUUUUCACAACACAGUAAUCUCAAAAUACAUAAAAGAUUGUAUACUAGAGAGAAUUCCUAUGAAUUGUAAACAAUGUGGUAAAGCCUUUGUAUAUCACAGACAUCUUCAAAGGUAUGGAAGAAAUCAUAGUGAAAGGAAACCCUGUAAGUGUAUUCAAUAUAGUGAGCCUUUGCACAAUUCUACAGUCUUUAUUAUCAUCAUGAAAGAAUUUAUACUGGAGAAAAACCUUAUGACUAUAUUUAGUAUGGUGAAGCCUUUGCACACUUCUAUAGUCUUCAUCAUUAUGAUAGUAUUCAUAACAUAGAAACAUUAUAUGAAUGUAAGCAAUGUGGCAAAGCCUUU